GUACGGGCGGGUGUAGGGGACACG
rnacentral:piRNA from 1 species